AUGCAAUGAUUUAAAUUUAUAAAUCUUAAGAAUUCAAUUAUUCUUGUAACAUUAUAGAUUAUUAUUUUUGAAAUAUCUGUAGAUUGAAAUGUUCUUGGUCAAUUCUGCGGGUCGUUAUCACUUGCGCAUAUGCGAUUUCAGGUAUCGAUUACUCGCUGACUCACGAGAGGCCGGUAGUGUCGGCGAACCACUUCAAAAUUCGCAAUCCUGUAUCACAGAUGGAGCUACAUAGCGUUGUACUGUGUGGUCGCGUCAUUCGAGAUUCGAGCCUCUUGAGUAAAAGAAAUUACAUUUGCUUGUUCUCCCGACGACUAGCCAUCGAAAGCGAUCGAAAACGUUGAUAAUUAUCUGUUCUGGAAAUUUUGAGUAAGCCAAAGUCAUCCGACGUCCGCUGGAUAUUGCCGCAGCAUCGACUUCAGACCGAAGAAUUUACGGACGUAAGGAGCACCGGCGUGAUCCUGCGUGAGGUCACGCUGGAAGAAAGUUAGCGGCAAUUCCGAGAGUGCUUGAGGUCACGCUGCAACAAUCACGUCACUCUCGAUCCAGCUAAUGACGCAUCUACCAGAGGAAAGGAAGAUCCAUUGACCUCCCCCCCGCUUUUAUUUUAGUACAUCUUCGAGCAGAGGAGCUUCGCGGAGCGUUGGGUAAGUUUCAUGAAAAUCUACCUGUGUAUCUCACUUAAAAUAGAAACAGAGUUGUGAUCGAGGUCACAUUAGAUUUCUCACAUCACCGCGUUUCGCCCGUCGACAUAUCUGCUCCCCUUUGCGUG